AAUAGGUGUAGUUUUAUACUGUUUAUAUUCAACGUUUGACCGUUCGUCUUAUUUGAAAUUUUUUAUGAUUAUUAUAUUUGUUGAUAUUACAUGAUAAAUCAUGAACAAUAUUUUAUAUGUGAUUUUUAUUUAUUUUUUUCAUAAAUUUUUUUAAAUAAAACGGACGGUUAAAUAUUGGAUACAGAUAUCCACGGUUUUAUUUAUU
rnacentral:pre_miRNA from 1 species